rfam:Solanum tuberosum cultivar DM 1-3 516 R44 scf00175_82, whole genome shotgun sequence.
CAAAAGAAGAGUUUGAUCCUGGCUCAGAAGGAACACUAGUUAUAUGCUUAACACAUGCAAGUCGAACGUUGUUUUCGGGGAGCUGGGCAGAAGGAAUAGAGGCUCCUAGCUAAAGGUAGAUUGUGUCUCCCAUGAGGUGAGAAGAGUUGAGAACAAUGUGGCGAACGUGUAUGUAAUGCGCAGGAAUAUGUUGAACAGUUCAGGCCAAAUCCUGAAGAAAGCUAAAAAGCGCUGUUUGAUAAGCCUAUGUAGUAUUAGGUAGUUGGUCAGAUAAAGGCUGACCAAGCCAAUGAUGCUUAGCUGGUCUUUUCGGAUGAUCAGCCACACUGGGACUGAGACACGGCCUAGACUCCCACGGAGGGCAGCAGUGGGGAAUCUUGGACAAUGGGUGAAAGCCCGAUCUAGCAAUAACGCGUGACUGUAGAAGGGCAAUGCCGCUUGUAAAGCUCUCUAGUCGAGUUCACGAUCAUGACAAGACUCGAGGAAGAAGCCCCGGCUAACUCUGUGCCAGCAGCCGCGGUAAGACGGGGGGGCAGUGUUCUUCGGAAUGACUGGGCAUAAAGGGCACGUAGGCGGUGAAUCGGGUUGUAAGUGAAAUCCGCCAAAAACUGGCGAAAUGCUCUCGAAAUUAAUUCAAUUGAGUGAGACAGAGGAUUGUGGAAUUUCGUGUGUAGGGGUGAAAUUCGGAUAUCUACGAAGGAACGCCAAAAGCGAAUGCAACUCUCUAGGUCCCUACUGACGCUGAGGUGCAACAGCAUGGAGAGCAAACAUGAUUAGAUACCCAGGUAGUCCAUGCCAUAAAUGAUGAGUGUUCGCCCUUGGUCUACGCGGAUCAGAUGCCCAGCUAACGCGUGAAACACUUCACCUGGGAAGAACGGUCGCAAGACCAAAACUUAAAGGAAUUGACGGGGGCCUGCACAAGCGGUGGAGCAUGUGUUUUAAUUCGAUACAACGCGCAAAACCUUACCAGCACUUGAUUUAUGAACAAGAAAACAUGUCCUUAACGGGAUGGUCCUUACUUUAAUACAGGUGCUGCAUGGCUGUCGUAAGCUCGUAUCGUGAGAUGUUUGGUCAAGUCCUAUAAUGAGCGAACCCCUCAUUUUGUGUUGCUGAAACAUGCGUCCAAGGAGAAAGUCUUAGCAACCGAAGUGAGUCGAGGAGCCAAGUGACGUGGAAGCGCUACUAAUUGAGUGCUAGCACCUACCUGCGCUGUCUGUAAGAAGGUAGCCGCUGCCUUUCGAAGCACUUUUUAUUUCUAGUUAGAGUUGUUUUUUUAUUGCAGCUAGUGUGCUUGACUAAUAAGGUAGAAAAGGCAUUUCUCGCUUGUUUAGUAAGGUCAAAUUUUUGGCCUUAUCUUGCAGGUGAUGACGACGUCGAUUUCACGGCGGAGAAAGACUCAGCAUUCAGGUGAGCCACCCGGUGGUGUGGUACGUAGUGGGUUUAGUAUGCCCCGCUCAAACAAACGGCUCCAAAACAAACAAAAAGGUGUGUACCGCACUAACGCAAGACUACCAGUGCUAUACUACAGGAAGGUGGGGAUGACGUCAAGUCCGCAUGGCCCUUAUGGUCUGGGCCACACACGUGCUACAAUGGCAUUUACAAUGGGAAACAAGGCUGUAAGACGGAGCGAAUCCAAAAAGAUUGCCUCAGUUCGGAUUUUUCCCUGUAACUCGAGAACAUGAAGUUGGAAUCGCUAGUAAUUAUGGAUCAGCAUGCCGCGGUGAAUAUGUACCCGGGCCUUGUACACACCGCCCGUCACACCCUGGGAAUUUGUUUUGCCCGAAGCAUCGGACCAAUGAUUACCCAUGACUUUUGUGGCACACUAGUGCCACAAAGGCCUUUGGUGGUCUUAUUGGCGUAUACCAUGGUGGGGUCUUCGACUGGGGUGAAGUCAUAACAAGGUAGCCGUAGGGGAACUUGUGGCUGGAUUAAAUCUUUC